CUCUAUCCUCGCUCACUUUCUCACUAUCUUUAAUUUCCCAAUCACAUCUCACCUGGAAAAAAUGAAAAAAUCUCUUGUCAAAAAAUCUCUUGCUCAACUUUCUCGCUCUAUAUCUCUUUAAUCUCUCUAUCUCUAUCUUUCUCACUCUCUCACAAGGUAGACCAACUCUCGCUCUAUCUCUCGGUGUAAAGCAAGUGUCUCUAUCCUCGCUCACUUUCUCACUAUCUUUAAUUUCCCAAUCACAUCUCACCUGGAAAAAAUGAAAAAAUCUCGUCAAAAAAUCUCUUGCUCAACUUUCUCGCUCUAUAUCUCUUUAAUCUCUCUAUCUCUAUCUUUCUCACUCUCUCACAAGGUAGACCAACUCUCGCUCUAUCUCUCAGUGUAAAGCAAGUGUCUCUAACGUCGCUCAUUUUCUCACUUUCUUUAAUUUUCUCAACACAUCUCAUCCCCAAAAAAACAACAAUUUUUUCUUACUCUCUCUGUGUGUGGUUACUGGUUGGUGACUGGCUGUGUGUGUGUGUGUAUUCACCAAUCAGAAAGCUGCGAUUCUGGGACCUGACCAGUGAUAGUGACGCGCCGCUUGGUGAGGGCCAGGCACCAGCAGGGGACGCCAUGUUAACCUGUGCCUAUUCAUCGCUUGGUGGUUCAGUCUGUGUUGGACACGAAUCCGGCAGCGUAAUCUUCUAUGGAGCUCCAAACCACCUACCAACACUUCUUCAUCUGUGUCGAAUGAGUGUAAGGCGCAGUGUCCCCUCUCACUCUCUCUCUCUCCUCCCUCUCCCUCACUCUCUCCUGCCUUACCUCACCUACACUGCAUAGAGAGAGAGAGAGAGAGAGAGAGAGAGAGGGACCACUGUUCUAUAUUUAGUGCCAUUUAUAUUGUAAGAGAGAGAGAGAGAGAGAGAGAGAGAGAGAGAGAGAGAGAGAGAGAGAGAGAGAGAGAGAGAAUUUUAGUUGUGCUCAAAUUGUUGUAGUAGUAGUUGUUGUUUUUGUUGUACUAC
rnacentral:lncRNA from 1 species